rnacentral:rRNA from 1 species
AGUGAACGCUGGCGGUAGGCCUAACACAUGCAAGUCGAACGGCAGCACAGUAAGAGCUUGCUCUUACGGGUGGCGAGUGGCGGACGGGUGAGGAAUACAUCGGAAUCUACUUUUUCGUGGGGGAUAACGUAGGGAAACUUACGCUAAUACCGCAUACGACCUACGGGUGAAAGCAGGGGAUCUUCGGACCUUGCGCGAUUGAAUGAGCCGAUGUCGGAUUAGCUAGUUGGCGGGGUAAAGGCCCACCAAGGCGACGAUCCGUAGCUGGUCUGAGAGGAUGAUCAGCCACACUGGAACUGAGACACGGUCCAGACUCCUACGGGAGGCAGCAGUGGGGAAUAUUGGACAAUGGGCGCAAGCCUGAUCCAGCCAUACCGCGUGGGUGAAGAAGGCCUUCGAGUUGUGAAGCCCUUUUGUUGGGAAAGAAAAGCAGCAGGUUAAUACCCCGCUGUUCUGACGGUACCCAAAGAAUAAGCACCGGCUAACUUCGUG